AAGUCGUAACAAGGUAUCCGUAGGUGAACCUGCGGAUGGAUCAUUACCAAUUUCUAUAUUAUAAAACUGCUCAAGCCCCGCAACGGGUUUGGGCAACUUUUAUAAAUGUAAAUUGUUGAACCUGUUAUAUUAUUCUGUGUGGUUCAGUGUUAUUACUUGGCCACCAGCAUUUAUAAAAUCUAAAACAUUUUAUAUUAACUACUACCAUAUAUUAACAACUAUAUAUAUAAUACUUUUUAUAGCCCACAAGCUGUAAAAAACAACUAAUAUAAAAAACAACUUUCAACAAUGGAUCUCUAGGCUCUC
rnacentral:misc_RNA from 1 species